UACGUAGGGUGCGAGCGUUAAUCGGAAUUACUGGGCGUAAAGCGUGCGCAGGCGGUUUUGUAAGACAGAUGUGAAAUGCCCGGGCUUAACCUGGGAACUGCAUUUGUGACUGCAUGGCUAGAGUUUGGCAGAGGGGGGUAGAAUUCCACGUGUAGCAGUGAAAUGCGUAGAUAUGUGGAGGAACACCGAUGGCGAAGGCAGCCCCCUGGGUCAAGACUGACGCUCAUGCACGAAAGCGUGGGGAGCGAACAGG
rnacentral:rRNA from 1 species